CUGGUUGAUCCUGCCAGUUAGUCAUAUGCUUGUCUCAAAGAUUAAGCCAUGCAUGUCUAAGUUCAAGCGAAAAUAAAGUGAAACCGCGAAUGGCUCAUUACAUCAGUUAUGGUUCCUUAGAUCGCACUUACUACUUGGAUAACUGUGGUAAUUCUAGAGCUAAUACAUGCACUGAGCUCCAACCCUCGUGGAAGGAGCGCUUUUAUUAGAUCAAAGCCAAUCGGGCCUUCGGGUCCGUACCGUUGGUGACUCUGAAUAACUUUGCUGAUCGCAUGGUCUCGUACCGGCGACGUAUCUUUCAAGUGUCUGCCUUAUCAACUGUCGAUGGUAGGUUAUGCGCCUACCAUGGUUGUAACGGGUAACGGGGAAUCAGGGUUCGAUUCCGGAGAGGGAGCCUGAGAAACGGCUACCACAUCCAAGGAAGGCAGCAGGCGCGCAAAUUACCCACUCCCGGCACGGGGAGGUAGUGACGAAAAAUAACGAUACGGAACUCACAUGAGGCUCCGUAAUCGGAAUGAGUACACUUUAAAUCCUUUAACGAGGAUCUAUUGGAGGGCAAGUCUGGUGCCAGCAGCCGCGGUAAUUCCAGCUCCAAUAGCGUAUAUUAAAGUUGUUGCGGUUAAAAAGCUCGUAGUUGGAUCUCGGUUUCGGGCGGGUGGUGCGCCUUGCGGUGUUUACUGUCUGCCCGGACGAUUUUGUUGGUUCGUUCGUGGUUCUCUUAACCGAGUGCCACGGGUGGCCAGCACGUUUACUUUGAAAAAAUUGGAGUGCUCAAAGCAGGCGCUACAGCCUGAACAUUAGUGCAUGGAAUAAUGGAAUAGGACCUCGGUUCUAUUUCGUUAGCUUUCGGAGUCGAGGUAAUGAUUAAUAGGAACAGACGGGGGCAUUCGUACUGCGACGUUAGAGGUGAAAUUCUUGGAUCGUCGCAAGACGAACUACUGCGAAAGCAUUUGCCAAGAAUGUUUUCAUUAAUCAAGAACGAAAGUUAGAGGUUCGAAGGCGAUCAGAUACCGCCCUAGUUCUAACCAUAAACGAUGCCGACCGGCGAUCCGCCGUCGUUAAUUGAAUGACUCGGCGGGCAGCCUCCGGGAAACCAGAGUGUUUGGGUUCCGGGGGAAGUAUGGUUGCAAAGCUGAAACUUAAAGGAAUUGACGGAAGGGCACCACCAGGAGUGGAGCCUGCGGCUUAAUUUGACUCAACACGGGAAAUCUCACCAGGCCCGGACACCGGAAGGAUUGACGGAUUGAGAGCUCUUUCUUGAUUCGGUGGGUGGUGGUGCAUGGCCGUUCUUAGUUGGUGGAGCGAUUUGUCUGGUUAAUUCCGAUAACGAACGAGACUCUGGCCUACUAACUAGAUGUAGGAUCCCUUUGUGGGUCCGUCACUGCUUCUUAGAGGGACGGGCGGCUUUUAGCCGCACGAGAAUGAGCAAUAACAGGUCUGUGAUGCCCUUAGAUGUUCUGGGCUGCACGCGCGCUACACUGAAGGAAUCAGCGUGUGUUCCCUACCCGAAAGGGUUGGGAAACCCGUUGAACCUCCUUCGUGAUGGGGAUUGGGGAUUGCAAUUAUUCCCCAUGAACGAGGAAUUCCCAGUAGGCGCGAGUCAUAAGCUUGCGUCGAUUACGUCCCUGCCCUUUGUACACACCGCCCGUCGCUACUACCGAUCGAGUGAUUUAGUGAGGACUUCGGACUGGUCUUCGUGGUGGCUCUCGAGUCAUGACGGAGUUCCGGAAAGAUGCCCAAACUUGAUCACUUAGAGGAAGUAAAAGUCGUAACAAGGUUUCCGUAGGUGAACCUGCG
rnacentral:rRNA from 1 species